AUGUACAUUCUUACAACAUAGAGUUAAUGCAUUAGAUUCUAUUAGAACUUCAUAGUUAAGCGCACUUGGGAUAGAGUAGUACUAAGACGAGUGACCGCCUGUAAAGUCUUAGUGUUUUACACG
rfam:Picea glauca, whole genome shotgun sequence.